rnacentral:rRNA from 1 species
GAUGAACGCUGGCGGCGUGCCUAAUACAUGCAAGUCGAGCGAAUGGAUUAAGAGCUUGCUCUUAUGAAGUUAGCGGCGGACGGGUGAGUAACACGUGGGUAACCUGCCCAUAAGACUGGGAUAACUCCGGGAAACCGGGGCUAAUACCGGAUAACAUUUUGAACCGCAUGGUUCGAAAUUGAAAGGCGGCUUCGGCUGUCACUUAUGGAUGGACCCGCGUCGCAUCAGCUAGUUGGUGAGGUAACGGCUCACCAAGGCAACGAUGCGUAGCCGACCUGAGAGGGUGAUCGGCCACCCUGGGACUGAGACACGGCCCAGACUCCUACGGGAGGCAGCAGUAGGGAAUCUUCCGCAAUGGACGAAAGUCUGACGGAGCAACGCCGCGUGAGUGAUGAAGGCUUUCGGGUCGUAAAACUCUGUUGUUAGGGAAGAACAAGUGCUAGUUGAAUAAGCUGGCACCUUGACGGUACCUAACCAGAAAGCCACGGCUAACUACGUGCCAGCAGCCGCCGCAG